rnacentral:tRNA from 1 species
GCAGUGGUGGUUCAGUAGUAGAAUUUAUGCCUUCCAUGUGGGAGACCUGGGCUUAACUCCCAGCCAGUGCG